CUCACAUAUAAUCGCCAUGCUCCAUUUCAGCGGAGCACGUUCGUUUUCCCAGCAAAUGCUAAAACUGAAGGAUCUUGUUUAACCGGCUAUUAUUGAUCUAGAUAGAGUAAUGUGAAGGCUUUUAAAGAAUUCCGUUGAGUUGCGCUUAGUUUUAAAAAAAAAUCAGAAAAAGGGAUGAUUGAGGAAUGUGAUGGUUAUUUCAUGGUGAAGAAGCGUGCAGCCUGCCGCCGCGCGCUGUCCAUCUCCGGAAGGUCAUGAAUCAAACUGCUCAAAUGACACGAAAUGACAUGAAGCUAAAUGUAAAGAUUGUAGGCUGGGUUUGUCGGGCCUAAAGGGCGUCGCAGUGUGUUUGACAUUCCAGCAUAAAAGCUGCAGACAAGAACAAUGCGCGGACACUGGACACCUGGCGUUCACCUCGUCUAUUAUUCAUCAUUUUAAAAACGAGUUCUGCAGGUUUCCCUCAAAGCCUUGUUUAUGUUGAAAUCAGAGGACCUUCACAAAAAGAGAAGCUUUAUUAGAGGAGGAGCCUGUCAGCAGCAGGCUAACAGUGCUGCUAUCCAAGGUGCUGAAAUGCCUGCAGACACCUCAUAAAAUAUUUCACUGUUAGUAUCUUUUGCAGUGCUCACUGAGGGAAAUUAA
rnacentral:lncRNA from 1 species